ensembl:lncRNA LINC01515 long intergenic non-protein coding RNA 1515
AGGACUAGUUACCCUGCCUCUGAAGAAGCAGGCUGAGGUUUUCAAAAGAGUAAGAUGUGCCUGCUUCCCCUUCUGCCAUGAUUGUAAGUUUCCUGAAGCUUCCCCAGACAUGUGGAACUGGAUUUCUACUUUUGCAUCUUCCACACUUUCUCUUGCUGCCACCAUGUAAGAAGCGCCUUUCACCUCCUACCAUGAUUCUGAGGCCUUCCUAGCCAUGUGGAACUAGGCCAAUGCUGGUGAAGAAACUGAACAUUUUAUAACUGGUUAGACAUGGUAUGGAACAGAGGAAAUCCACACUGAAAAAGCUGCUCAGAGGGAGAAGAGAAGACUCAAAAGGCAAAAUUCCAAAGGAAAAUGCUAAUCGGUAAGCAAGAGACUGAAUAGAGGAAAAGAGAUGAGGAAGAACUCCCAGGAAAGCAUUAAGAUUGCCCUGGUGCAGUGAAAUGGAGGGGGUCUGAUAGACGUGCUGGAGUGGAACAUGGAGAAGUAGAGAGCAUCUGUGAACCACCCAGCCACCGCCUGAGUGAAUAGCAUCUGUGCCGAGCACCAGGAAUAGGCACGAGAGCCAAGCCAUUGCUCUAGGACAAACUGAGCUCACUGGGAACCCUAGCAGGAAUCUCUGCGGAAGAGGUUUACUAUCAUCUGCCAUUCUCAUUACUGUUCAAAGAAGCCUCUGACAGAAGCAGAACCCCAACCAACUGAUGGACAGUGGCACAAAGGGGCACUAAAGUUAUAUUAGGAAUGUUUGCAUCUUAUUAUUCAGGCUCCAUCUCGAGCAGAUGGCUCAGCGUCUUCAAAGGGGAUUUAGAGCAUUGCAGAGCAGGAUGGCAGUGCAGCAGCCCAGGUAAAGGAAGAUCUGUGAGAAGUCCAAGUCACACAAGAUCUGUGAAGAACAAAAGUCUACUCAAGUGUUAUUCAUAAUUAUUUAAUGUGCUUGGCUAAAGUAAUGGUUCUAUCAUUGGGAUUGUCCUAGAGAGUCAUGCAUAACAUACACAACUUAAAGAUGAAUUAUAACUCCAUCUCUACUGAAAAGAAAAUACGAAAAUUAGCUGGAUGUGGGGGCGGGCUUCUGUAAUCCCAGCUACUUUGGAGGCUGAGACAGGAGAAUUGCUUGAACCCAGGAGGCAGAGGUUGCAGUGAGCCAAGACCGUGCCAUUGCACUGCAGCCCGGGCAAGAAGAGCGGAACUCAGUCUCAAAAAAAAAAAAAAGAAUUAGAUGACAAUAUUUUUUUUUUUUUUAGACAAAUCCUUGCUCUGUCACCAGGCUGGAGUGCAGUGGCACGAUCUUAGCUCACUGCAACCUCCGCCUCCUGGGUUCAAGCGAUUCCCCUGCCUCAGCCUCCCAAGUAGGUGGGACUACAGGUGUGUACCACCAUACCUGGCUAAUUUUUUGUAUUUUAGUAGAGACAGGGUUUCACCAUGUUGGCCAAGAUGGUCUCGAUCUCCUGACCUCGUGAUCCACCUGCCUCAGCCUCCCAAAGUGUUGGGAUUACAGGCGUGAGCCACCACACCUGGCUAGAUAACAAUCUUUAACCUACUGCAUGGGUGACAGAUGCCUUUGCCGGAGUCUAGUACACUCAAUAAUGGUUCAGAGGCAGUGGUAGUAGUAAUGGGAGCAGACUGGGGAAAAUCCAGACAUCGUUUUUCUCAUCACCACUUCCCAUUAAUAAAAAAAAUUAAAAAAGAAAACCCUGGCAUCUGGCCAGGCCCCUUAUUCUGAAGAAUUAUGCUCAGUUAUAGGCCUUUAACAGAAGUAGAUUGGCUGCUAAAAUUUGAAAAAGUCUCAAGCCCAAUUUAAGACAUUUGGAGUUUAUCUUAGAGGAAUGUCCUUUAAAAAUAUUACAAUCCUGAACAUUUACUAUAUUCUACUACUACGGAAGCCUGUCACCUCUGUGGGUUCUGUUUUAGCACUUAUUGGUUAUGAUCACUAUACACUGGAUAUGUUUCUGUUUUUUCAUCUAUAUGUGAAAGAUUAAAAAUAGUACAACUCCUAUUGUGAUUGCUACUGCUAAAUGGUUUUGUUCACAUAAAGUACUUCGCAGAGUGACAGACCUAUAAAAAUGCUAUUGUUAUUAUUAUUACUAGCUAUUAAAAACAUUCUAUGCUUCUACAAAAGAUGUCUUUUUAACAGUCAGUUAAUUUUAUUCCUGGUGUCAGAGUCCUAACUAAAGUUAGCCAGUCAUUUAUGAAUGUUGUGUUGUCCCUGUGGAUAUUUUAAAAAUUAAUAUGCUAAUUCUAAUUUGUGUAUUUUUAAGAUUCUAUGUGUUUUUCCAAUAUGGUUAGAGUUUUAUAAUGCAAAGUUGCAAUUGUACUCUAU